rnacentral:rRNA from 1 species
UACGUAGGCAGCGAGCGUUGUUCGGAGUUACUGGGCGUAAAGAGUGCGUAGGCGGUUUUCUAAGUUUGGUGUGAAAUCUCCCGGCUCAACUGGGAGGGUGCGCCGAAGACUGGAAGACUUGAGUAUGGGAGAGGUAAGCGGAAUUCCUGGUGUAGCGGUGAAAUGCGUAGAUAUCAGGAGGAACACCUGCGGUGUAGACGGCUUACUGGACCAUAACUGACGCUGAGGCACGAAAGCGUGGGUAGCAAACAGG